CUCUGGGAGUUCCUCUGAAGGCCAAAGUCCUGCCCCCAAACAUAAUUCUCUUCUUCAACCUUCACAAUUAUAAGUCCUUCUUGUUCUUUUGGAGCAUGACUACUGAGAAUCAUAAGCUGACCAAAGGCAUACAGCCAGUGAGCAGAGCACUGGGCUCUUCAAUCAAAGUAGUUAACUCCCCAAAGAAAGGAACUCACACUUCAUGAUGAAAGCUUCUUGAAAGUUAAUGAAUUUUCCCAAGGUCCCAAACCAGUCAAGACAUGACCUCAGGGUUGCCUGGCCUCAAGAACGUCUCCUUUUUAUUCCAGAAUUGGUUAAUGCCCAGGACAACCUUGAUUGUUACUAUAAACUAGGAAUAAUGAUGAAAAGAUUAGAAAGGAGUUAUGAAGAAUGGCUAUACAUGUACAAACAAGGAAAAGUUAUCCUUGAAUUUGUCACAAGAUUCUGAAACAGCACAAGGAAAAGAGAAAGAGAUUCCUUCAUCCAUUUUUUUCAACAAAUACUUGAACAUUAACUAUGUGCUAGCAGGCAUACUAAACAGGAGUCUCAAGAUAAUGAGUUCUGUCUGCAAGGACUCAGUUUAUUUAGUAUGUGAAAUUGACAGGUAAAUACAGAUUGAUAAAUCGAAAGAUGAUGAGCACAAGAGAAAGACCACUGACCAAGCCCAGGUAGAGAGGGGAGAAGUGUUAGAAGAUGUAGCCUAUUGAAGAAACUGAAAAUGGUUUAGGGAGGCCAGACUAAUGGGUGUCACCUCUGGCUAUGUCUUAGUAUAGAGGCACCAUGAGAGAUUCAUGGAGUCAGAAUCUCCGGGGAUGGGGCUUAAGUGAGUGUCCCUAAGUGCUUCUAAUAGGUAGAAGCCUGGUUAAGAAUAAUAUGUCAGAGCCUAGGGUACAAUUAAGGAGAAGAGAUAACUAUAGGGGAACAGCCAAGCCCUCCAGGGUCCAAGGGGUUGAUCCCUCAUGGCCACAGGAAUGGCUGGAGGAUUUAUGUGCCCACAAAGAGAGAGAAGAAGAGAUAAGUAAGGGUUUGUUGCAACCAUUUAGACUAUGGGAGUCAAAAAAUAUAAAGAUAGGACACACUGAAUAAGGGUUUGGAAGAAAGGGGAAUCUAGAAGGACUCAGGUUUCUGGCUAUUCCUGGUGACUGGAGGUUGCUGGUGUCAUUUGCUGAGCUAUUCACUAAGAAAGUUAUGUCUGAGGUACCAACAAAGCAGCAUUUCCUAAACUCUACUUUACCAGAUAUUAACAGGUGCUUCAAAUACACCAAAACACAAUAGAAACUUGGGGAUGUUUUUCUUAAUUUUUUGCAGAAGAAAAAUAAUAAAUAUAUUUUUUAGUUCUUAUUAUGUGAUAAUUGUAAUUUAAGAAAUCAUAAGAUUAAAAAAAUAAACAAAAAGGAAUCACAUGAUGCUGCACUGUCAGACCUGUGUACAUAGCAUUUACCAAGGGCUGCAGCACAUCUAUGUGUAUCCUUAGUGACUAUUAGUUUCUGUUAUGUCUCUUGCCUUUUUUUCAAUGUUUGUGGUAUUAUUCAAUUUUACUAUAAAUAUUAUGCCUCACCAACUCAUCUUCCAUAGGUGUGUGGCUGAAGGAAGGAUAUAAACUCCUCCAUCUCCUUCAUAGGUCCACCCUCUCUAAAUCAGAAUUCUCUAAGAUUAGUCCUAAAUUCUCCCCUUUUUUAACUCUCCACUUUCCUCCAAGGCUACCUAAUCCUCACCUUUGUUUACCAUCUUCUAGUAUAGACCUCCUAUCUGAGCUCCAGACCUAUUUACCCACAGUUCUUCACUCCCAUCAUAACUCCUCUUGAAUUUCUCAAAUGCAUAUCAAAUAGUACAUUCAUAAACAACUCAUGAUUUCUCCCAUAUCAAAUCUGCCCUCUUCCAUUGGUUCCCUUUCAGGUAACAGGAAUAUCUUACCUGGCUGUAUGGCCAGAAAUCAUCCAUAACAAAAUUCUUUCUUUUACCUCCUUCCUUUAUUUAAUGCAUAUUAGCCUACUGAUUUUAUUGCCUGUCUGCCCGUCCUAAACUCUGCCACCACAUAUUCAUCCUAACUGUCCCAUCUGUCAUACUUUACAAUAACUUCUCUACUGACUUCCCCAAUGCACUGUAUCCCCAUUACUCUAUUAAUCUACAUUGUAACCAGAGUGAUCUUUUCAAAUUGCAAAUCUGACCUGUUCUUAUAACCAGUUUUGUUUUGUUUGUUUUUAAUGAUUUUAAACAAAAAUAGACUAGUAUUUCUCACAGUAUUGUUUAUUGAUCAAGUUUAACUAUUAGUUUCAACUUUAAAAAAAAUUUUGUAGUUAUAGAUGGACAGCAUGCCUUUAUUUUAUUUGUUUAUUUUUAUGUGAUGCUAAAGAUUGAACCCAGUGCCUCACACAUGCUAGGCAAGUGCUCUGCCACUGAACUACAGCCCCAGGCCCUAGUUUCAACUUUUGAUCCCUAAUGUGAUUGUGAUCUUUUAUCAGUUGGGCUGCAGAUUUGAAGGUUCCAGUGGAGAAGGUUUCCAAGGGGUAUUACUCUCUGUCUAGCAACUGAUUGUGGCUAAUGUCAGGAAGCUUGGCUGGGGCUAUUAAUAGGAAUGCUUACACAUUUUCUCUCUGUGUGCCCCUGACCAGUUUUUGUUGUUGUUGUUGUUUGUUUGUUUUUUAAUAAAAGCAAAGUACUUUUAGUCAAGGUAAA